UCAAAAUGACUCUCGGCAACGGAUAUCUCGGCUCUCGCAUCGAUGAAGAACGUAGCGAAAUGCGAUACUUGGUGUGAAUUGCAGAAUCCAGUGAACCAUCGAGUCUUUGAACGCAAGUUGCGCCCGAAGCCUUCGGGCUAAGGGCACGUCUGCCUGG
rnacentral:rRNA from 1 species